rnacentral:tRNA from 1 species
AAGAAAUAGGUUAUCAGGAAUAAGCUUCUAACUUAAUUCCUUAGCGAUGAAAAUUCGUUAAUAUUUCU